ACGAACGCUGGCGGCGUGCCUAAUACAUGCAAGUUGCGCGAUGAAGAUUGGUGCUUGCCCCAAUUUGAAGAGCAGCGAACGGGUGAGUAACGCGUGGGGAAUCUGCCUUUGAGCGGGGGACAACAUUUGGAAACGAAUGCUAAUACCGCAUAACAACUUUAAACAUAAGUUUUAAGUUUGAAAGAUGCAAUUGCAUCACUCAAAGAUGAUCCCGCGUUGUAUUAGCUAGUUGGUGAGGUAAAGGCUCACCAAGGCGAUGAUACAUAGCCGACCUGAGAGGGUGAUCGGCCACAUUGGGACUGAGACACGGCCCAAACUCCUACGGGAGGCAGCAGUAGGGAAUCUUCGGCAAUGGACGAAAGUCUGACCGAGCAACGCCGCGUGAGUGAAGAAGGGUUUCGGAUCGUAAAACUCUGUUGGUAGAGAAGAACGUUGGUGAGAGUGGAAAGCUCAUCAAGUGACGGUAACUACCCAGAAAGGGACGGCUAACUACGUG
rnacentral:rRNA from 1 species